rnacentral:rRNA from 1 species
GACGAACGCUGGCGGCGUGCUUAACACAUGCAAGUCGAACGGAAAGGCCCUGCUUUUGUGGGGUGCUCGAGUGGCGAACGGGUGCGUAACACGUGUGUAACCUGCCCUUGACUUUGGGAUAACUUCAGGAAACUGGGGUUAAUACCGGAUAGGAGCUCCUGUUGCGUGGUGGGGGUUGGAACGUUUAGGCGGUAGGGGCUGGACUCGCGGCUUAUGAGCUUGUUGGUGGGGUAGUGGUUUACCAAGGCUUUGACGGGUAGCCGGCCUGGGAGGGUGACCGGGCACAAGGGGACUAAGAGAGGGCCCAGACGCGAACAGGAGGCAGCAGUGGGGAAUAUUGCACAGUGGGCGGGAGCCUGAUGCAGAAACGCCGCGUGCGGGAUGACGGCCUUCGGGGUGAGAACCGCAUUCGCCUAUGACGAAGCGGGAGUGACGGUAAUGGAUAAAGAAGCACCGGCUAACUACGUG